GACGAACCGUGCGAACGUUAUUCGGAAUCACUGGGCUUAAAGGGUGCGUAGGCGGGCAGGUAAGUCAGUGGUGAAAUCUCCGGGCUUAACCCGGAAACUGCCGUUGAUACUAUCUGUCUUGAAUAUCGUGGAGGUAAGCGGAAUAUGUCAUGUAGCGGUGAAAUGCUUAGAUAUGACAUAGAACACCCAUUGCGAAGGCAGCUUACUACACGAUCAUUGACGCUGAGGCACGAAAGCGUGGGGAGCAAACAGG
rnacentral:rRNA from 1 species